AAAAAUUGCAUCCGUUUAGGAUUCAAAUAUUUAUUGCAAGUGUUUAUAUUAUUGUAUAUUUUAUAUAUUAAGUGUAUCUACCAAGUGUAUCUACGAGAAAAGCAAUUGAAGAUAAUAUAAUAUAACAUGACUAAUAGUGAUUAUAAUACAUAAUCAAAACAUAAAAUCACUAGCUAUUAAAUUAUUAUUUUUAAUGUGAUUUUAUGAUUACCAAUUAUUUACUAUUAUUAUAGUGAGUGAUUAUAAGUGAUUAUAAGUGAUAAAAGAUAGUGACGUAAUUACACAACGAGUUAUAAUUACUUUAUGAAGAUUUAUAGUAGAAUUAUGAAGAUUUAUAGUAGAAUAUUAAAUAUAUUGAGGAAAUUGAAUUUCACCGGCGGCAAUAGAGGAGAAACGUCUGAAGUAAUAAAAUGAAAAUAUGGAAAAAAGAAAAAAAAGAAAACGAGGAGAAAAAGGAGAAAAGGAAGGAAAAAUAGAUAUUUAACAACGAUUCGAAUAUGAACGUGGACAUAAUAUCAACGCUAAUCAACCCCGUUAUAAGAUUGUUCUGCGCAAUCUCAUUUUCUGUCAACAGGGUUUGUAUCUUCGUCGUCCAAUCGAGCGAGAGAGCUUUAACGAGGGCAGCAGUGAUCUCAACAUUGAUUACACCUUCGAUAAACUAUUUGUAACGAGUAAUAACACCAUCAUUGGAUAAUCUCAUAAUCAAUCUUCGAAUCUACGAUUCAACGCCUCCUCGUGAAACCAUUGUACUGGCCGAGACUCGACACUAGCGCGCUCUAUGCCCGCAACUACCCUAGCGCUCCUUCUCCGUCGCGCUCGAAGAGCAAAGACCCUAACUCACUCUAAUUCCACGCCAAUCUUCGGAUCAACUCAAUAGUUCCUCGUAUUGCUAUUCUUCGACACCUAGUCCCCCCACUCCUUGCCCGAAUCAAGUUGAGAGGAGUGCUGGCGGUAUCACGCUCGAUCCACUGUCGGCCGUUUAAUUAACCAGACCCAUCGGAACUAAUCGUAUCAUUUAGGGCUAAUUCAAU